UUCCUGAAGACUGGUUCUUUCCUAGUCCCAGAGGGCAGGACGGAGAGAUCAGGUUGGAACUCAAUGCAUCAACUCUGGAUGAUGCCACCUAUGGAAACAUCGGAUACAUCGCCUUUGCCACUGAAUCCUUGUCCAUUACAUAUAUUUUCAAAUUCACCAAAUCUGACGAUGGAACUAUUGCAGUGGAGUUGAUCAAGUUGCCUGAAAGUGAAAGUGUAGGUGGAUGUACACUGGGUAAUUCGGGAUCAGACAUACUGGUACUUUUCUUCAAGUUUGGUGAGGAGAGUGUCACAUUGUCCAGAGAUACCCUUGACAACGAGGUUCUAAAUCAUGCCAGUACUGGUCAAGCUGCCAACAGUGAUGCCAAUCUGGCCAUUGUGAAUUUUACCAUCGCCAGCAGCGGAGAUGGAACCGGUGGAGGUGAAACCGGAGACCAUGAAGGAGAUGGAACCGGUGGUGGUGGAACCGGUGGAGGUGAAACCGGUGGAAGUGAUACCGGAGACAAUGAAGGAGAUGGGACCGGGGGUUACGUAGAUGACAAUCAUGAUGACAAUGGUGAUACUGGGAAUGCAUUUUAAAUGACCCAUGGUCAACUAAAAGCUUCAAAUAAUAUUACAGAAUUUUCUGUAUUUAUCAGUAAUUAUCUUAGAUUAUUCUGCUGGUGAAGGGUUGAUAAAAGUAAAACUACACGCAAACCUCUAUGUUGAACAAUAAACUGUUACACUUACUGUAAUUACCUUUAAAUUAAUACUGAAUAAUCCCCCUGAUUAAUGAAAGUACUGUAAGGUAAUCAUGAUUGAUUUCGUGUGGUGGUAGGGUCUAUCAAUUCAAUUGGACUUAGUAAAAUAAGUCACUAUUGCCUUCUCUCAUGAAAUCAAUCCAGUAAAAAUAAUCUUAUUUAAGCAGAUCAUACAAAUCAAAAGGGUAAGUUAAUGGAAUCAAUGUGAAUAGAAACAAGGGUGAAAUAAUAGCUGGGGAAAAAAGAGGAACCAAUAUUACCAUUACAUUUACAUGUAGGCCUACAAUGUGCUGCACUCAAACCAGGUGAGGUAAAUGGGUACCGGUAGGAAGUAAUUCCUUAAGAAGCUGUGUGCGCUAUAUGAACGCCAAGCUUAGCCGGGUAUUAUAGAAGCGCCUUGAGCACCUAACAAGGUGGAUAUGUGCGCAAUAUGAAUAUCCUAUAUUAUUAUUACUAUUAUUAUAUUGCAAUCGAUAUCAAUUAAGAAGUGGCAGCAUGUUGAAAACAAAGCUCAGAUUCUCCAAUGUUUACACCAAAUAACGAUUCCUAACAUUUUAGGCACGCGCUUACUACUAUAUGUUGGCUUGGAGUGAAUCUGUGUAAUGUCAUAAUAGUCUCAUGCUUCAUUAUUUGUCCCUCUGAUGUUAACCUAAUAAACUAUCCCAAAAUAA